rnacentral:rRNA from 1 species
GACAGAGGAGCCAAGCGUUGUCCGGACUGACUGGGCGUAAAGCGCACGCAGGCGGUGCGGUAAGUGGGGGGUGAAAGCGGUCGGCUCAACCGACCGAGGCCAUCUCAGACUGCCGUACUCGAGCGCUGCAGAGGGUGGUGGAAUUGCCGGUGUAGUGGUGAAAUGCGUAGAUAUCCGGAGGAACACCAGUGGCGAAAGCGGCCACCUGGACUGUACCUGACGCUCAAACGCGAAAGCUAGGGGAGCGAACGGG